rnacentral:lncRNA from 1 species
AGUGGCUUAUCCCAGGGCAAAUGAUGCCUGCAGUCUUGAAAGGGAGAAAAAUCCCUCCUUUGUUCCUGUGGUAGAAGCCACUGCGUCUGUCCCCUGUGGGCCAAGUAGAUAUCUGAAUUCUCUCAGUAGCAUUUUUGUGUGACUGUGUUUUGUUUUUUCAGCUGUAUGUCUCCUGAAACAACCAAAUAAAAACUCAAGAACAAUGU